rnacentral:lncRNA from 1 species
AGCUGCUCAACGCGAUUUCCCUUCGCGCUUCUCCGCACCGGGAUCCCCAGUCCCUCAGGUUCCGACAGACCCUCCUGUCAGGCCCAUUCUCCGGGCCCCCUCAGUUGCAGUGUUAAGAUCAACAGUGUUAAGAUUAAAGCCUUGUGAUGUGCUAGCCACUACGCUGAGGAUAUGCCGUGUACUAAAAUUCCUCAGGACUCCUCACAGCUGCCCUGUAAGGAAGCGGCCAUGGCCGGGUUCUAGCGAUGCGAGGCCGAGGCUCGGGGCGCUGAGUAGCCUAGCGCGUCGCCGAGGAGAGCUGGCACGUGAACCCCUUGUCGUUUGCCGUCAGAGGUGUUAUGUGGUGGCCCUCAUUCUCCAUGCAUGGAGCAGACUCUAGGAUCUGCAGUUACUGUAUGAUGAGCCCUUCUGAGUAUUUUGCUUGGGUGGACAGUUUAUGUGUCAGACUGGAAUCCAUCUGGAAGACCACUCAAUAACUUGUGAUUAGCUGGACCUGGUGAUGCAAGCCUGGAGUCCCAGUUACCCGGAGGCUGAGGUGGGAAUAUCGCUUGAGACCAGGAGUUUGAGGCUACAGUGAGCUGUGAUUGUACCACUGCACUCCAGCCUGGGUGACAGUGCAAGACCUCAUCUCUUAAAAAAAACAAACAACUCAAAAAACCUCAUCAUUGAGCACCUAUGAUGUGCCAGCAACUGUACUCAGUGGUGGGGACUUGACGACAAACAAACCAGGGAUGGGAUCCUUGAGCAGUCACCAUCUGACAAGUGACUGGGAAAGAUGAAUAAUGCCCUUCACCAAGAUUCUUCUCUGAUCCACAAAUUCAAUUACCAAUUUAUUUGUUCACUGCUCUUAAACUUAAAUAUUUUUUAGUAGGUAAUAAAGACAUGUUUAAACACUCUUAACUUUUAACAAUUUCUUUGUAAGUACUGUAAUAGUCUUCUUUUCCUUUAAAAAGAAAAAAUACAAAAAGAAGGAAAAGGAAAAUCUAUUCAAAAUAAAGUAUUCCAGAUAUCUGA